rnacentral:rRNA from 1 species
UACGUAGGGGGCUAGCGUUGUCCGGAAUCAUUGGGCGUAAAGCGCGCGUAGGCGGCCAGAUAAGUCCGGUGUGAAAGUCACAGGCUCAACCUGUGAAUGCCGCUGGAAACUGUCUGGCUAGAGUCCGGAAGGGGCGAGUGGAAUUCUCGGUGUAGCAGUGAAAUGCGUAGAUAUCGAGAGGAACACCAGUGGCGAAGGCGAGUCUCUGGACGACUCCUGACACUGAGGCACGAAAGCUAGGGGAGCAAACAGG